rnacentral:rRNA from 1 species
GUGGGGAAUAUUGCACAAUGGGGGAAACCCUGAUGCAGCAACGCCGCGUGAGUGAAGAAGUAUUUCGGUAUGUAAAGCUCUAUCAGCAGGGAAGAUAAUGACGGUACCUGACUAAGAAGCUCCGGCUAAAUACGUGCCAGCAGCCGCGGUAAUACGUAUGGAGCAAGCGUUAUCCGGAUUUACUGGGUGUAAAGGGUGCGUAGGUGGCAGUGCAAGUCAGAUGUGAAAGGCCGGGGCUCAACCCCGGAGCUGCAUUUGAAACUGCGCGGCUAGAGUACAGGAGAGGCAGGCGGAAUUCCUAGUGUAGCGGUGAAAUGCGUAGAUAUUAGGAGGAACACCAGUGGCGAAGGCGGCCUGCUGGACUGUUACUGACACUGAGGCACGAAAGCGUGGGGAGCAAACAGGAUUAGAUACCCUUGUAGUCC